rnacentral:rRNA from 1 species
AUGAGCAAGACAGGAGUUCAUGGGCAUUUGAGACUGUCCCUUUUUGAUGAAAAUGUUCUUCAGCUGAAUGAAUCUCACCUUGUCAAGCAAAAGAUCAGUGAUCUCGUGCAAGGUCCAAAUGUUACCGGUGAUCAUGGCUCUACAGAAAUGAAAAAUUGUGACCAGUCAGAUUAUGAAAUGUUCAGCCAAUUUGACCAUGUCAGAUGCAGUUUUGCUUGGAGGAAACAUAAUUUGUGCAUUCAACUACAAUUGUUGUUGCGCUCACCGGAGAAUGGACUUAGUUUUGUAUUUCAGGCAUUGAGACAGUCCACUUUCUAA